GAUGAAGAACGUAGCGAAAUGCGAUAAGUAAUGUGAAUUGCAGAAUUCAGUGAAUCAUCGAAUCUUUGAACGCACAUUGCGCCCGCCAGUAUUCUGGCGGGCAUGCCUGUCUGAGCGUCAUUUCAACCCUCAUGCCCCUAGGGCGUGGUGUUGGGGAUCGGCCAAAGCCCGCGAGGGACGGCCGGCCCCUAAAUCUAGUGGCGGACCCGUCGUGGCCUCCUCUGCGAAGUAGUGAUAUUCCGCAUCGGAGAGCGAUGAGCCCCUGCCGUUAAACCCCCAACUUUCCAAGGUUGACCUCAGAUCAGGUAGGAAUACCCGCUGAACUUAAGCAUAUCAAUAAGCGGAGAA
rnacentral:misc_RNA from 1 species